rnacentral:tRNA from 1 species
GCCUGGGUGGCUCAGUCAGUUAAGCGUCUGACUUCGGCUCAGGUCAUGAUUUUGUGGCUUGUGGGUUCAAGCCCCGUGUCGGGCU